CUACGUGCCAGCAGCCGCGGUAAUACGUAGGGUGCGAGCGUUGUCCGGAAUUACUGGGCGUAAAGAGCUCGUAGGUGGUUUGUUGCGUCGUCUGUGAAAUUCCGGGGCUUAACUUCGGGGUGGCAGGCGAUGCGGGCAUAACUAGAGUGCUGUAGGGGAGACUGGAAUUCCUGGUGUAGCGGUGGAAUGCGCAGAUAUCAGGAGGAACACCGAUGGCGAAGGCAGGUCUCUGGGCAGUAACUGACGCUGAGGAGCGAAAGCAUGGGGAGCGAACAGGAUUAGAUACCCUGGUAGUCCAUGCUGUAAACGGUGGGCGUUAGGUGUGGGGACCGGUUUUGGUUUCUGUGCCGUAGCUAACGCAUUAAGCGCCCCGCCUGGGGAGUACGGCCGCAAGGCUAAAACUCAAAGGAAUUGACGGGGGCCCGCACAAGCGGCGGAGCAUGUGGAUUAAUUCGAUGCAACGCGAAGAACCUUACCUGGGUUUGACAUGCACCAGACGGUUGUAGAGAUACGUA
rnacentral:rRNA from 1 species